rnacentral:rRNA from 1 species
UACUACCGAAGCUACGGCAUCAGUAAUGAUGGGUAGGGGAGCUUCCCAUACGGGUUGAAGCAUGACCGUAAGGACAUGUGGACAGUAUGGGAGUGAGAAUGUUGGCAUGAGUAGCGAGAUGUGGGUGGGAAUCCCACAGGCCGUAAACCCAAGGUUUCCAGGGGAAGGUUCGUCCACCCUGGGUUAGUCGGGACCUAAGCUGAGGCCGAAAGGCGUAGGUGAUGGACAACAGGUUGAUAUUCCUGUACUACCGAU